CAGCUAACCGCUGCUUUGCCUGCAAGUAGUGCUCACUAGUUAGAGUUGUGCCAAGAAGUAUUGUUUAGUGCUGGUAGUUUCAGUACUUAGUAAGCGUGCAAAGACGAAGAUAAAUGUCUCACUGACGACAAUUGAUCAAUUCGGCAGCUCACUUCUCAUGACCACCACUCCGUCCGCAAGCGAGUUAUUCUUUCCAAAUUUUUGAGAGCUGUUACUUUCUUACUCAUCUGUAGGUCCAUGCUUCGAGCAAUAGCCGCCGAUUAUAGGUAUCUGGCGAAGAUAGGUUACUUACUCUACUGCCAAAUGUAUAAAUUAUGACUUUGUUUAAUCACUGCCUCAUGAAUGGAGGUGUCAAGCACACACAGUGCCCCAACAUCUCUGUGUGUGCUAUUGUAUCCUUCACCCUGCCUGCAUGGUGUCUACUCCUAGACUGAGUGAAUGGAGGUGUCAGGCACACACAGGUGCAUGUGUCAGAGAGUGGGUGUCAGGAGAUGCUAUCACAUGACCUACACCAUUCUGAGCUGUACCAAUAUUGUUGGUGGUUCAUACGAUAAUUACCAGCUAAUAAUUGCCUAUUCAAUUGUUCUGUUUCAGAGGAUUUACAAAAUCUAUAGUGAAGCUCGCUUGUAAGCACAACUUUUGAGUAUCUAAUUUCAACCCACCCCCUCCAGGAGUAUUGACGUGACUCCCUCCAGGCCCGGUGAAAUGGACCUAUCGUCUCUCUAUUAUAUAUAGCAUAUGCAGCAGCAAAGUACAACAUAUCAGUCAGCAAGAAACCACCUCACCCCAGCAAGUCCUUGUCUUUCCCACUAUCACAUGUGUGUCAAAUGUACUUGGACAACUGCCUAGGAAAAUUGCAAUCUCAUGCAGACACUGGAAUUACAUUAUGCACGCUGUUUCUAAUCAUGGACACUCUGAUGGGACAAGUUGAAGACAUUGUCAAGAAGUAAACACAAGCAAGCCCGUUACCAAGGAAACAUGACAACAUUGAUUACCAUGGAAACCAGACAAUGUUUAGCCCAUGUAGUCAUAAAAAUUAAUUGUUGUAUUAUUUCUACUGCUAUAAUUAUGACAUAAUUAUUAUUAUUACGAUAAAA